rnacentral:tRNA from 2 species
GAGCCGUUAGCUCAGUAGGUAGAGCAACUGCCUUUUAAGCAGUGGGUCGCAGGUUCGAAGCCUGCACGGCUCACCA